rnacentral:rRNA from 1 species
UUGUCCUCGGGGGGCAGCAGUGGGGGAUAUUGCACAAUGGGGGGAACCCUGAUGCAGCGACGCCGCGUGGGCGAUGGAGUGCUCCGGCAUGUAAAGCCCUAUCAGCAGGGAAGAAAAUGACGGUACCUGACUAAGAAGCCCCGGCUAACUACGUGCCAGCAGCCGCGGUAAUACGUAGGGGGCAAGCGUUAUCCGGAUUUACUGGGUGUAAAGGGAGCGUAGACGGCAGCGCAAGUCUGGAGUGAAAUGCCGGGGCUCAACCCCGGAACUGCUUUGGAAACUGUGCAGCUAGAGUGCGGGAGAGG